GGGGCUGCAGCUCAGUGGCAGAGUGCCUGCCUAGCAUGUGUGGGGCACUGGGUUCGAUCCUCAGCAGCACCA
rnacentral:tRNA from 1 species